rnacentral:rRNA from 1 species
CAGUAGCCGCGGUAAUACGUAGGUGGCAAGCGUUGUCCGGAAUUAUUGGGCGUAAAGGGCUCGCAGGCGGUUUCUUAAGUCUGAUGUGAAAGCCCCCGGCUCAACCGGGGAGGGUCAUUGGAAACUGGGAAACUUGAGUGCAGAAGAGGAGAGUGGAAUUCCACGUGUAGCGGUGAAAUGCGUAGAGAUGUGGAGGAACACCAGUGGCGAAGGCGACUCUCUGGUCUGUAACUGACACUGAGGUGCGAAAGCGUGGGGAGCAAACAGGAUUAGAUACCCCCGUAGUCCCUGUCUCUUAUAC